UAGGGCGUGCCCAUGGUUUAUGCUCGGAGAAAAGCUGGAUGAAUUUUUGUGGACUAAGAAGAUUGGUAGAAAAAGUCAUAGACUAAGGAGAUCCUGGAGGGUAUUUAAAGAGGCUUUGGGGCAUGACAAAAGGAGAACAACACUUUCACAUUUCAUUUUGCUAUUAUUUUUCUCUUCAUGGAUUGUUAAACUCUUCAUUCUAGUCAGGGGUUUCAUCAAGGGUUUUGAUUCAUUGAAUUGUGAGAUUAUUGCUCUUCGUGUUUUUAGA